rnacentral:rRNA from 1 species
GCGCGAAAACUUCGCAAUGCGCGAAAGCGCGACGAGGUCAUCCCGAGUGCCGCCCGCUGAGGGCGGCUUUUGCCUGGUCUAACCAGCCGAGUGAAUAAGGGGAGGGCAAGUCUGGUGUCAGCCGCCGCGGUAAUACCAGCUCCUCGAGUGGUUGGGACGAUUAUUGGGUCUAAAGCGUCCGUAGCCGGCCGGAAAAGUUUUCCGUUAAAUCCAAUGAUUCAAUCGUUGGGCUGCGGGGAAUACUCUUCGGCUUGGGGGCGAGGGAGGUCGGCGGUAGUCUCGGGGUAGGGGCGAAAUCCUAUAAUCCCGAGAGGACCACCAGUGGCGAAGGCGGCCGACUAAAACGCGCCCGACGGUGAGGGACGAAAGCUGGGGGAGCGAACGGGAUUAGAUACCCCGGUAGUCCCAGCUGUAAACGAUGCAGGCUAGGUGUUGGGACGGCCACGAGCUGUCCCAGUGCCGCAGGGAAGCCAUUAAGCCUGCCACCUGGGGAUACGGUCGCAAGGCUGAAUUCUCUUUGAACAUUCGUUCAAGAGACAGUUGAACG